AGGAAAAGAAACCAACAGGGAUUGCCCUAGUAACGGCGAGUGAAGCGGCAACAGCUCAAAUUUGAAAUCUGGCUCUCGGGCCCGAGUUGUAAUUUGUAGAGGAUGCUUUUGAUGCGGUGCCUUCCGAGUUCCCUGGAACGGGACGCCAUAGAGGGUGAGAGCCCCGUCUGGUUGGAUGCCAAAUCUCUGUAAAGCUCCUUCGACGAGUCGAGUAGUUUGGGAAUGCUGCUCUAAAUGGGAGGUAUAUGUCUUCUAAAGCUAAAUACCGGCCAGAGACCGAUAGCGCACAAGUAGAGUGAUCGAAAGAUGAAAAGCACUUUGAAAAGAGAGUUAAAAAGUACGUGAAAUUGUUGAAAGGGAAGCGUUUAUGACCAGACUUGGGCUUGGUUAAUCAUCUGGGGUUCUCCCCAGUGCACUUUUCCAGUCCAGGCCAGCAUCAGUUUUCGCCGGGGGAUAAAGGCUUCGGGAAUGUGGCUCUCUCCGGGGAGUGUUAUAGCCCGUUGCGUAAUACCCUGGCGGGGACUGAGGUUCGCGCAUCUGCAAGGAUGCUGGCGUAAUGGUCAUCAACGACCCGUCUUGA
rnacentral:rRNA from 1 species